rnacentral:rRNA from 1 species
AUAACGACUCUCGGCAACGGAUAUCUCGGCUCUCGCAUCGAUGAAGAACGUAGCGAAAUGCGAUACUUGGUGUGAAUUGCAGAAUCCCGUGAACCAUCGAGUCUUUGAACGCAAGUUGCGCCCGAAGCCUUUAAGGCAGAGGGCACGUCUGCCUGGGUGUCACG